rnacentral:rRNA from 1 species
AAGGAAUAUUGCUCAAUGGGAGAAAUCCUGAAGCAGCAACGCCGCGUGGAGGAUGAAGGGUCUAUGACUUGUAAACUCCUGUAAAGAAGGAAAAAAUUCCCAUUUGAUGGGAGAUGAUGGUACUUCUGGAGUAAGCCCCGGCUAACUACGUGCCAGCAGCCGCGGUAAUACGUAGGGGGCAAGCGUUGUCCGGAUUUACUGGGUGUAAAGGGUGCUCAGGCGGAUUUGUAAGUCAGAGGUGAAAUCUUACAGCUUAACUGUGAAACUGCCUUAGAUACUGCAAGCCUAGAGUAUGGAAGAGAGUGAUGGAAUAUCUGGUGUAGCAGUGAAAUGCGUAGAUAUCAGAUAGAACACCAAUGGCGAAGGCAGUCACUUGGUCCAUUACUGACGCUAAAGCACGAAAGCGUGGGUAGCAAACA